GUUCAUUAUAGAAGAUUUACUUCACUAUAGAAGUAUCUUCUCUCCACUCUCUCACUCUCCUCCAAAAUAAUCGCAUUGCAAUAAGAAAGUAUCAUCAUCUCCUUACUCCUCCAUGGCCAAAUCCUCGAGUAGUUAUCAUCAACCAAUCGAAUUGAAGAACAAAUCACACAGAAUUUGACUCCGAUUAAAUCAAACACUUCAAACGAAUCUCGAUUCACCCAUUUUUAUGAAAAUUCUCUGAUUUUUUUUAAACAAGGGGAUUGAAAUUACGUUAAAUAGUUAGUUUGAUCAAGGUGGAAGAGUGUGUAAAUUGACUAGAAAUUACGUCGGAGAAAUUGCAAAUGGGCCAAUUGAGUGCAUUUGACAAGAUGGAAUAAAUAUUGGUUGUUACAGGUAAAUUACUAAUUCAUUUGACAAAUUACAUAAAAGAACAAUUUUUUUUAAACUUUGUGUAGAAGCUUUAAUUCAUGUCAUCAAGAAAGAUAAAAUAUGCAUUGAGGCUCAUAAAAAGAUUGUUUCCUUAGUUUGUAGUUACUACUUGAAUAUGUAUGUUAGUGUGUCAGUUAUUUUAUAGGUCUGGUAUUUUAUAUGUUCGUGUGAGAACUCUUUUAAGUUUCAGGUAUAUGCAAUUCUUAUUUGUGUUUUAUAUUGAGUACAUUUGGUGCAAUGAGUUGCCACUGUUUACUAUGUCAAUCCUAACAAAAUUAGCAUAUUCAUUCCACAUAUUCUUUGUUUUGGUGUAUCUAUCUAAUUUUAGUUUGUACGAAGCUUUAGGACAUACAAAGAGAGCAAUAUAAUAGUCCUAUGCGUAAACUUAUAAGAUGACUAUUUGAGAGUAUUUUUUCCUAUAUUGCAGCCUGCAAUUUUCAAUACUAAAUUUUUUUGUUAAUAGGUAGAAUUAAGUGCAGAAAAGCGAAUAUAUAUUGUUAUAAUUUGUUUUUGUGACAUGGCACAAUGUAUUUGAUAAUCCCAAAUAGUCUUAGUAUGUCUAAACCUAUCCUCUUCACCCAACAAUUUCACAUGAAGACUAAAUUGGGUAUAUAUAUUGUUGUAUGUUCAGUAGUAGUACUUAAGUAGAACGAGUUACAUUAAACCUUAAACAUACCAAAGUAUCUAAUAGUUUUAGUUUCAUACCUCAUUUGUUAUGCUAAUAAUAAGUAUACAAAAAAUCAAUUGCUUCAUCACUUCAAGAGGUGAAUUGUUGAGAAGCGAGUGCUUUGGCAAAGCGAUGUUAAGUAUGAAAACAUAUUUUAUUUAUAUUUUUAGCAUUUAAAAAGGUUUAUUUCUAAAUGAAAAGAAGUUUGACAUCAAAAGAUUACAUUUCACAUCUUCUCCAAUGAUUGAAUUUCAGGUAAACGUCUUUUUUAUCUUCUUCUACUUCUCCAUCUUGCUAUGUUUUCUUCUUCUUUCUUCUCCAACGCUCUCUAUUGUCUGCGAAACUUGUUUUUCUUUUCUUUCGUAUUCUACUUUCUUCAUCCUAAUUUAAAAUGUAACAUGUAAUUUUGAUCAAAGACAAUUCAGAAGAAAUUGAUCACAACAUAUAAGAUGCUUUGUUAGUGUUUGAUUUAUAAAUGUAAGUGUAAUUAGUACUUUCACAUAUGUAAAUAUUCCACUACAACAUCCAAUAGUAUGACGUUUGCAAAAUAUAUAGACAUUUUGUAGUUACUAUGUUCAAGAUAGUAAUAUUUUAAUUUACUUUA